AGUGAACGCUGGCGGUAGGCCUAACACAUGCAAGUCGAACGGCAGCACAGUAAGAGCUUGCUCUUACGGGUGGCGAGUGGCGGACGGGUGAGGAAUACAUCGGAAUCUACUUUUUCGUGGGGGAUAACGCAGGGAAACUUACGCUAAUACCGCAUACGACCUACGGGUGAAAGCAGGGGAUCUUCGGACCUUGCGCGAUUGAAUGAGCCGAUGUCGGAUUAGCUAGUUGGCGGGGUAAAGGCCCACCAAGGCGACGAUCCGUAGCUGGUCUGAGAGGAUGAUCAGCCACACUGGAACUGAGACACGGUCCAGACUCCUACGGGAGGCAGCAGUGGGGAAUAUUGGACAAUGGGCGCAAGCCUGAUCCAGCCAUACCGCGUGGGUGAAGAAGGCCUUCGGGUUGUAAAGCCCUUUUGUUGGGAAAGAAAAGCAGCAGGUUAAUACCCCGCUGUUCUGACGGUACCCAAAGAAUAAGCACCGGCUAACUUCGU
rnacentral:rRNA from 1 species